GGAGACAUGGCGCAGCGGCAGCGCGUAUCGCUUUCGAGCAAUAAGGUCAAGAGUUCGAACCUCUUUGUCUCCA